CUGCUUCUACUUUCUGUAUGGAGCUGGGAGCGUCUGCCUGUUGGACGCCCGAAGAGCGUCAGGUUUGAUCCUUGGUAUGCAGAUGAACAUGACGAAUUACGGCGCCCCACGUGGGCUUACAAGUGGGAUAUCAUUUCCGAGAUGACGAAUGAUGUCAAUCUCAUGUACCAAAAGUACAUUGCCAAGUUGGACACGAUUACGGCUGAGCAGGUAAGGAGGUCAUUACUUCAGUCCUUUCUCAUGCUUGCUUGA
rnacentral:rRNA from 1 species